UGAUGAGUGAUGUGUACGGAAUGCAAUAUGGGUCAAACCCUCCGCGCUUGGUUUCAGUGCGCCGUCAGCGCGAGACGAAGAGCGCGAGUCGGCGGCAGAGAGGAGCGGUCAGACCGGAUUCUGAUGAAAAACAAGCAGCAGUCGUCCAGGCUCCGAGGGUACCGGCGAGUGGCGGAGAAGAAUGUGCUCGGGGACUGCGGGGAGGUGAACGGGCGGAGAAAGCUGUUCUCGGGGCGGGAAGACUCGGACGGUGUGCGCGUUGGCGCCGCUGGGGACGGCCGGGGCUCCGUGGAGGAGCCGGAGAGAGCGGAGAGAGCUCUGAGGCAGGAGGAGGCGAACCCGUCCGCCCAUGCAGAGGAGCUGGAGCUGCACAGGGACCAUGAGUGGGGCACCUGGGCCAUGGAGGGACGCAACGUUAACGGCGCAGGGACGGUGGGGAGGAGAAGCGGCGAGCCGGGCUGCCUUUCUGAGGGAGGUGCGCGGCUGAAGAGCUCCUGGCUGGGGAACAGCCUGAGCGUCCCCACCACAGACAUGACCAGAAACUCUCCCGAAGGCAAGCAGGAGAGCCAGGACAGCUGUCCUGAAGAGGAAUACGGUUUGGUGGAUUAUCACAGUUUUCCUGGCACCAUUCCUCAGCUCAUCGUCACCCGGGACCCGAGCCCCAGCCCCACCGAGGCGCUGCAGGAGCCGCGGGCGGGGGACGAGUCGCCGUGUUCGGACAGCGGCUGCGGAGGCUCCCCGGUGCCUUACUUUUCCCUCCGCAAGCUGUCCAGCUCCUCGUCGGCUGGACUUUCGUCCGCCUCGUCGUUCGAGGAGUCCGAAGACGACGUGACCGGAAGUGACGCGGAGUCCGCCGGCUUGUCCCCCCGGAGGAGCGGUCCAUUUGGGAGUCCAGAGGAGCUGGCAGGGGCGAAAUCGUGGAGGAAGUUGAAAAGCAUGGUUCAUUUCUCGCCCUUCGUCGUGUCCUUCAAGAAGCGCUACCCCUGGGUGCAGCUCGCCGGACACGCAGGUAGCUUCCAGGCGGGGGAGGACGGUAAGCUGUUGAAGCGGUUCUGCGAGUGUGAGCAGCAGUGUCUGCUGAAGCUGAUGGGCGACUCGCUGAAGCCGUUUGUCCCGGGCUACUACGGCAUUGUGCAGCGAGAUGACCAGGAUUACAACCUGAUGGACGACCUGCUGGCAGACUUUGACUCUCCGUCCAUCAUGGACUGCAAGAUGGGCAGCAGAACGUAUUUGGAAGAGGAGCUGGUGAAGGCUCGAGAGCGGCCCAAGCUGAGGAGGGAUAUGUAUGAGAAGAUGGUGGCGGUGGACCCUGACGCUCCGAGUCCAGAGGAACGAGCCCAGCAGGCCGUGCUGAAGCCGCGCUACAUGCAGUGGAGAGAGACGCUUAGCUCCACAGCCACGAUGGGCUUCCGCAUUGAGGGCAUCAAGAAAGCAGACGGCACAUGCAACACCAACUUUAAAAAGACGAAGCACAGAGAACAGGUUAUGAAGGCCUUGGAGGACUUUGUGGAUGGGAACACACAGAUACUGAGGAGCUAUCUACAGAGGCUGAAGGAGCUGCGCAGCGUGCUAGAGACCUCGGAGUUCUUCCGGACACAUGAGGUGGUGGGCAGUUCGCUGCUCUUUGUGCACGACGCUUCAGGACAAGCCCGGGUGUGGAUGAUCGACUUCGGGAAGACUGUCCCGCUGCCUCCGCACCAAACCCUGGACCACCGCACCCCCUGGAAAGAGGGUAACCGUGAGGACGGCUACCUGUGGGGCCUGGAUAACCUGAUCGACAUCCUGGCCGCCAUGCUGCCGAACACUGCCUCGCAGCAAUUCUAGGGGCCCAAGCACUGCUUCUGCUGUUCUGAAGCCUGGAGUUAAGGAAGGAAUGAGGCGAAUGAGAGAGGGAAGGAGUGAUCAGACUCUCCACGGAGCAAGGAAAGAGGACGGUCAGUGACCCUGACCCAGAUGAACCAUUUGAGUUCUCAGUUCUCUUGAAGAAACAGAUGCAAUCGGAAAUCGAAUCUGGUUGGAGAAACUAACCCCAUCUUAUAUCUCGACAUAUCAACUAACACUGGGUUUUCGGCAAGCUUCCUUCACGAGGCUGCUUGUGUUUCAAGAGCGCCCAUGGACAGAAUUUACCUACAGGAUCAUGCUGACAAACCUGUUUCUGCCUUUCAUAUCAAAUAAAUUCAUCUCAUUGUUGUGCAGAAGUGUCAGAAGCAUGCUGUGACAUUUGAUCUAGGUGGAGAGAAAGUUGCCGAAGGCCUUUUUGUACCUGGAAUGUGUCGAUGCUUGCCGAUACCGAUCAGCACGAGCGCGAUGCUUUCCCAGCAGUCGAUGAGCUGAAGUGUUAAAUCUAAUAAGCGCAGAUAAAUCUAAGAUACCUGAAGUUAGUUUCAUUCUCUCGAUGAGAUUGUUACCCAAAGUCAGAUGAACUUAUUGCGAUCUUCAUCUCCGUUCGUCUCGGUAAGAGCGAGUGCAGUUUGAUGGCGGUAGCUUCAUGCUUGGCAUAACUCUUCUCAGAAGUGUCGAGUUGCGUAGUUCUUCUCAAGAGGAAGGAAAUGGAUCCUGUAACACGAAAUGAGGAGAUGGAGAAAUGUGUGGAUGGUGUUUUUGCACUCCAUUUACACUCUAACUUUAGAAGGAAACCUCUAAAAUGUAAAGUGAAUUAAAUCUAGGUAUUUUUGGAUCAAUUCCAUUCGUCCAUUUAUCAUGAAAUGUUCACACAGUAGGGUGAAAAGGGCUUGAUAUGAGCAUGAUGAUGCAAAAUCGGCUCUAGUUGGCUUCUUGGAAUAGUUUUUCCCUUUGAAGGGCCAAUUUUUUCCCCCUCUGAUGUCCAUUUGUGACAUAUUUUUGGAUUUAGGCUCUGGCUGGCCUGUUGGAAUAG